rnacentral:rRNA from 1 species
UACGUAGGGAGCAAGCGUUGUCCGGAAUCAUUGGGCGUAAAGCGCGCGUAGGCGGCCCGAUAAGUCCGCUGUGAAAGUCAACGGCUCAACUGUUGGAUGCCGGUGGAUACUGUCGGGCUAGAGUACGGAAGAGGCAAGUGGAAUUCCUGGUGUAGCGGUGGAAAUGCGCAGAUAUCAGGAGGAACACCGUAGCGAAGGCGGCUC